UGUUCGCUGAGUUGUCCUUUAACUUUAGCAUUGCCAUUGUUUGCUCCCCAUUUGACUGUUACUCUUUGCUGUAGUCUUAUCUUGUAUGUUGACUGUAUGAUUCACAAGAUUGAUGUAUGUGUAGUGCAAAGCAUUUGCUGGCAGAGACAAAACUGGAACACAAUGAAGCUUUACUAUCCCAAGAGGCUGAUGCUGAUUAUGUCAUAGAAGUUUCAGGUGCGAUCAACAGUAAUGCAGCAUUUUAUAGUGGUUAUCAGGGGUAUGAUAGUAGUAAUUGGUAUAAUGGUGCCUUGGUUGAGGAGAUGGCUUCGACAAUGUUGGUCAGUGGGGUUGAUAGCUUUGCUAGUUUGGUGGGAGGAGAAGAAAGGAUCAACCACCGGCUGAAAUUAUUGAGGUGAAGCAGGAUGAAUUGAUGAAGAACCGCCCAACUGGGGAUAAAUCUAAGCUUAUUGGAAUAGCAUUUGGACCUUCUUAUCAGCAAAACUGUUGAGUGCUUAAGCACAGCAAAGGAAAAGCAACAAAUUCUGAAGGAAGAGCAGCCACCAGCACAAGACAGCCUGCCUGAACAGAAGCGAAAUCAAUCACCCAGCCAGCUUGAACAGAGAAGAAACACAGCCACAGAAGAAUUGCCACAACCAUCAGAGCAGAAACACAGCCACAGCCACCAGGGCAGAAACACAGUCAGCAAAACAGCCACCAGCACAAGACCAGGACAUCUAGUUAAAUGAAAUGCAAGAAAGAUCGAUCAGAGAUAAGUCUAGAUUAUUUAAAUUUUUUUGGACGAAAACUGUAAUA